AAAAAGUCGUAACAAGGUUUCCGUAGGUGAACCUGCGGAAGGAUCAUUA
rnacentral:rRNA from 4 species